rnacentral:rRNA from 1 species
CCUACGGGAGGCAGCAGUGAGGAAUAUUGCGCAAUGGAGGAAACUCUGACGCAGCCAUGCCGCGUGCAGGAAGACGGCCCUACGGGUUGUAAACUGCUUUUAUCCGGGAAGAAACCCCAGGACGUGUCCUGGGUUGACGGUACCGGAGGAAUAAGCACCGGCUAACUCCGUGCCAGCAGCCGCGGUAAU